rnacentral:rRNA from 1 species
GACGAACGCUGGCGGCGUGCUUAACACAUGCAAGUCGAACGGAAAGGCCCUGCUUUUGUGGGGUGCUCGAGUGGCGAACGGGUGAGUAACACGUGAGUAACCUGCUCUUGACUUUGGGAUAACUUCAGGAAACUGGGGCUAAUACCGGAUAGGAGCUCCUGCUGCAUGGUGGGGGUUGGAAAGUUUCGGCGGUUGGGGAUGGACUCGCGGCUUAUCAGCUUGUUGGUGGGGUAGUGGCUUACCAAGGCUUUGACGGGUAGCCGGCCUGAGAGGGUGACCGGCCACAUUGGGACUGAGAUACGGCCCAGACUCCUACGGGAGGCAGCAGUGGGGAAUAUUGCACAAUGGGCGGAAGCCUGAUGCAGCAACGCCGCGUGCGGGAUGACGGCCUUCGGGUUGUAAACCGCUUUCGCCUGUGACGAAGCGUGAGUGACGGUAAUGGGUAAAGAAGCACCGGCUAACUACGU